CUGACCUCAAGUGAUCGGCCCACAUCGGCCUCCCAAAGUGCUGGGAUUACAGGCGUGAGCCACCGCACCCGGCCUCCUAACUGAUGUUUCAGUUUGGAUCUGAAGAACGGGAAUUUUCAUAAUUUCUUUUUCAAGGUUUUUGAGAAUUAGUUUGUUGCCAUUUCCGAACUUCCAUCCCGUUGUGAUGUGCAUAACCAGUCGGCUUCCUUAGCCUCAUCCUCCACCCAGGGAAGCUCCGACCACGCCAGCACCAGGAAGGCCAGCCGGGGAGCAGCCUGGCCCAGGGGUCAGGAGCCGGGGCCUGUGUGGCCGGCACCUGGUGGAUGUGAGCCCCAGGACAGGGAGUUUCUGUACCCAUGAGAUGGAAGCAGCUCACUUCUUGGCCCCUUUCAAGAAUCUGGGAAGAGCUCCAGGAGUCAGAGGUCUGGGUGCCAGUCCCAGCUCUGCUCCAAACUGGCCGUGUGACCUCAGCGAAGUUAUUUCCCAGUUUUGUUUUCUUCUUUUACAAAAUGACAGGAGAUGUGGGCUGCCCGCUCUCUGGGGAAUACUGGAGGUUAUGCCCCAUCUCCUGUCCUGUGGGAGAACCCACCCUCCGAACGAGGCUCUGGUGAGGUUUUCACAAUCAGUAACAAGGCCGAUCUCCAUCAACGGAAGCCUCCCUGUUUGAGAUGGGGUAUGUGCUCCUUACCCAGGCUCCUGAACAAAACCCACCUCCUUGUCUUGGCACCACUGAGAGUGCACACCGAGGGGGCUCCAGCACCAUAUUGUGGGAACAGUCACGAGAAAGCAGCUCAGACUUCACACCCAGAGCCCUUGAUCCCUACACACCCAGUAUUCCUUCACAGCGCUCUUCCUGCUUCCUGGACACGUGGAACUGCUUCUCCAUCGGGGAGGAUCCAUCCAGAGCCCUUUGGGUGGGUGCUCAGGGCAAUAGCUGCUGCCUCUUCCUUCUGCUCAGCGCUGGGAGGCAUUACACUCUCCCCAUAUGGCACGGAGCAGAACGUGCACCUUUGGCUCUGGAAGGAAUGAACAUCCUGCCCGUUAGUUAGCCCUGGGAGUCACUGACUCGGUUCUUCCCUGGACACCAAUGUCCUAUGGAGCACACAGAAAGCCACGGAAGUGUGGUCUGCGGGUUGAGACGGACUCCGUUCAUUUGGAUAAGCAGAGGAAAUUUGGCAGAAACGACCAAAUGCAAACUACGUGUAGCAGCCUGAGACCGGCCGUCUACUGAAACAAAGGAUGCAGUUCAGUCGGAAACCACGCUUAGCAGUGUAGCUGUCUUUAGCCAUCCAGGCCCUGAGAACCAAUGAACAACCCAGCUUGGCCGCUUAGAACAUUUUUUCUGUACUUGAGUUAAAUAGAUAUCCAAGAACCAUUACUCAUUUUUAAUGUGGAGAAGUCGGUAUUCUAUUCUCGUGUUCUAUGUUUUUUAAAGCGGCAAUUUGAAUUAUUUCGUGCGAUAGAAAACCUUAAACACAAAGUAACGUUUCUAACAAAAGGGCUGUCGAUCAAGUGACAAACACGUCCUACUUUUAGAUACGAGCACGACUGAGGCAACGGCAUGAAAACGCCUAAAGUGGGCUGCUGGGGAGACAAGAUCUGGCCGCGAAUGGAACUCGCGGCAGCUCAUUAACGGGACCGUCCAGCAGGAAGGUGGGUUGGCAGCCUUCUCCCAGGGCUCCCCACGAUCCCUACCCCUGGUGUGGUGUGGCCUUCCUCCUCACAUGUCGUCUGGACCAAGCAGUGUGUUGUUCUCAUCCAUAAAGAGUGAUGGGCCGGGCACCAUGGCCACACCUGUGAUCCCAGCACUGUGGGAGGCUGAGGCAGGAGGAUCUCCUGAGCCCAGGAGUUUGAGACCAGCCUGGGUAGCAUAGGGAGACCCUGUCUCUACAGAAAAAAAGUUAGCCAGGUAUUCCAGAGGCUGAGGUGGGAGGAUCGCUUGAACCCAGGAGGUGGAGACUGCAGUGAGCCGUGAUCGCACCACUGCACUCCAACCUGGGCAACAGACUGAGACCCAGUUUCUAAAACAAAUAAUAAAAAGGCAGGGUGCAGUGGCUCAUACCUGUAAUCCCAGCACGUUGGGAGGCCAAGGUGGGCGGAUCACUUGAGGUCAGGAGUUCGAGACCAGCUGGCCCACAUGGUAAAACCCCAUCUCUACUAAAAUGCAAAAAUCAACCGGGCACAGUGGCACAGGCCUGUAAUCCCAGCUCUUCAGGAGGCCGAGGCAGGAGAACUGGGAGGCGAGAUUGCAGUGAGCUGAGAUCGUGCCACUGCACUCCAUCCAGGCUGGGUGACAGAGCUAGACACCAUCUUGAAAAAAAAUAAAAAUAAAAUAAAAAGAGUGAUGAGGCAUCCUGAGAUUCAUUUAUAAAAUGCCGUGAUUCAGGUCUCAGGGCACUGUCGCCCCUACUCACUUUGAUGAAGCCAGUGCUGGGUUGCUGCCGAGGUGGGGAGGUUCAUGGGCCAGGAACUGAAGGCAGCCAUGAGAGCCAGACCCCUCCACCACCCCCAAGACAGCAGGGAACUCACUCCAACAGCCACCCUGGGAUGCUGCCACAGCUGAGCCUGGAGGUGACCGUGACCCUGGCUGACGUCGGACUGCAGCUUUGUAAGGGAGACUGAGCCGGGACCCAGACCUACAAAAGCUGAGAUGAUAAACACUGUUUUAAGCUGCUGUGUGUCGCAGUGACUCGUGUGGCAGUGGAUUUCUAGCAGAGCCGUCGUUCCUGUCUGGCUUCUGUCAGCUCAACACUCUGUAGGGCCACCCAUGCUGUCGUGCAUGCCAGCGGUGGACUUUUCAUUGCUGAGUAAUAUUUCAUUCCAUUGCAUGCUCGCACCUCGGUUUGUUGAACUGUCUACCUGUUGAUGGGCUCUGGGACAUAGGCAGUUCUGGGCUAUUAUGAGUAAAGCUGCUUUUAACAUUUAAAUACAAGUCUGUGUAUGGACACAUGUUUUCGUUUCUUUUGAAUAAAUAUGUGUGGGAUUACUGGGUUUCAAGGGGACUGUAUGUUUAAGUUGGUAAGAAGCUGCCAAUCUGCUUUCUUUUCUUUCUUUCUUUUUUUCUUUUUGAGAUGGAGUCUCACUCUGUCACCCAGGCUGGAGUGCAGUGGCGUGAUCUCGGCUCACUGUAACCUCCGCCUCCCGGGUUCAAGAGAUUCUCCUGCCUCAGC
rnacentral:lncRNA from 1 species